CAUAUAUAAUAUAAAUAUACUCGUAUACGAACAUGAACACUAUAUCCCAUGUGUUUUUCCCUCCGAUAAUUGUCCUACUAGGCUGCUUCGGUAUGAGCUUUAUUAUUUUUCACUUAAAAAAAAAAGAAGCUGCAUAAAGAUAAGUUGCCGAAACCAUUGUUUGACAUCACUUCAGGAUAUGAUG